UAAUGAUGAUAAGUAUUUGAAAGCACAAUUUACAUAAGUCACGAAAAUAAAAUAUAAAACCAAAACAAUUUUAUUUGAGCAAACUAUGUAAAAUUUGAAAUCAGAGUAAAAAAGGAAAUUAUUGAAUCAAUUUAUAUUGUAGGAAGAAAGAAACGUGAAUGGAUUUUCUUGAUUCGCUCGAUUUAGAAACAACCCAUAAAAAAACGAAAAGGGUCAAAUCAUGGUACUUAUAUGAGCAAUUUAAAUCUCUGGAAAGAAAUCAGUUGGACGCUGCUCAAAAACUGAAAGACAGGUCCUACCAGGAGAGAAUCCUACGUCGGGAGCUAUGUGAAAGAAAAGCUAGACGAAGGCUCUACGAUCAAUUUGGACUAUGUACUUUUGAACCUAAAACAGAGAAGAGCAUUAAAAGCGAAGGAACAAAAACAUCAUUUAAUCAGAGCCACGAUGAUUUUUUCGCAAGUUUUUGCGAACUUGAAGACGACUAUCUCAGUGAAGCCACCGAGCACGAUUUGGAAGACUCCGACAAUUUCAAUCAAGAUGGCUCUCAAGUUGGCACACCGAGUGUUGAAGAAUUCAAAAGUAUAGAAGAUAUAAGAAACGAUAACAGCAUCGAGGAAAGCAUUACUAGUGUUGUCAAGAAUCUCAACAUCAAAGAGGGAAAUUUGGCUGACGAUAUAAAGGAGGAGCUCGAAUCUGUAAAGAGAAAUAUAGCUGAAAAUAUCAGUAUGCAAAAAGAAACUGUGAAAGCGAGUUUGCAGUGCAUAGAAAAUUAUACCAAGAUAUGUGACGAUGACAAGACUCCUACUGACAGAAGUCAGACAACGAUGGAAAUGCCUAAAGUGACGAAUAGGAGAGAGCGUGUUCGCACAAACGAUUACGACAAUAACUUGUUUAUCAUGUGGUCAAAAUUGGUUUCAUUUGCUUAUCAAAUUAUUCAACUGAAUCACGGUAAUUGCUAUUAUGACUAUGGCUCCCAAUUUCUGACCGCUGUACUUGCUUGCGAUGUCCUGCGGAGGGGCAUCAACCAAAUGUCCUUACGUUUCUCCGAUAAAGUAUGCUACUGAAGGAUCAGACACUUUCUCCGUCGGUCACAAAACUGAGAAAAGGAAAACGUCUACAAUUGUGAAAAAAUUGAAAAACAUGACACAACGAAAGCUACAACCUUAUCGAC
rnacentral:misc_RNA from 1 species